UCCUUUUAAACCAUCUUUGUCCCAAUCUGAAAGAUUUCAUGAAUCCAAUUGAAUGGGGGUAUGUGAACUAGUAUUUUGAUGGCCUCACUGCUUUGAGCUUAUUGUUUUUCUUUCAUGGAUGCCUUACAGGGAAGUGUUCACAGCUGAAUAACAAUAAACCUGUAUCUGGAGGUUCUACAAGGACUUGGGCUCUUCCAUUAUUAUUUGGGAAUUGGACAUCAUCUGGAGGCUCCCUGGAUAGCAGAUCUUUUGGUGAACAAAACCAUUCACAAUCGAUGCCCUCUGUAAUCCAAUUGAGAGAGCCCCCAUCCAUCUUAAGGCCAGUUGAAGUGACAGAGCAUAAAGCUGUGGAAAUUAUUGUAACCAAAUUACUCUUGCGGUCAUAUUAU